CCAGGUAUAGUUGGGGUUGCUCAACCUCACAUCCCACGUUUCACCUACCCGCGCGCGCAGGACACACGCUCGACUCCCCCUCGAUUCGCAGAUCUUAGCGCCCCCUGCUCCAAUCUGUUCCCGAAACCUAAAGCCGCGAUCCCAAUGCGCAGGGGUCCUGGCGAGGCGUCCCUCCGCCGCCGCCGCGCGCCGGCGCGGCUGUUGGUAGCCGUGGUGGCGCUCGUCACUUGCACUAUCUGCCUCUGGUCCUCCUCCACCGACCUCACCCUUGCCUCCUACAAGGCCCAGGAUGUUGAUGUAAAUAAGUUAUGGAGAACUGCAAAUUCAAAUGGCUGGAGAGCUUCUUCUGCACCACGAUCAUAUUGGCCUCCCCCGCCACCUGAGUCUGAGACUAAUGGGUACUUGCGUGUCCGAUGCAAUGGUGGCUUGAACCAACAACGUACCGCGAUAUGUAAUGCUGUUGUUGCUGCACGAAUAAUGAAUGCUACACUAGUACUGCCAGAAUUAGAUACAAACUCUUUCUGGCGUGACGAGAGUGGUUUCAUAGGUAUAUAUGAUGUUCCCCACUUCAUCAAGACAUUAAAAUAUGAUGUCCAUAUUGCUAUGAGCGUUCCAGAUAUCAUUACAAACGGAAAAACUAAGAAGCUGAAAGCCUACCAGAUCCGGCCACCUCGAGAUGCACCGGUAACUUGGUAUAUGACAGUUGCUUUAGAGAAGAUGAAGAGUUAUGGGGCUAUCUAUUUAACUCCAUUUUCACAUCGCUUGGCAGAAGAUAUAAAUGAUCCAGAGAUCCAGAGACUUCGGUGCCGGGUGAAUUAUCAUGCGUUACGAUUCAAGCCAAACAUCAUGAAAACAAGCAGUGAGAUAGUGAAUAAGCUCCGCUCAGAAGGCCAUUUCAUGUCGAUUCAUCUUCGGUUUGAGAUGGAUAUGCUUGCUUUUGCUGGGUGCAUUGAUAUAUUUACACCUCAGGAACAGAAAAUUCUGAUCAAGUACCGCAAGGAAAAUUUUGCAGAAAAAGAACUUGUCUAUAGGGAAAGACGGCUCAUUGGAAAGUGCCCUUUAACUCCAGAAGAGGUAGGACUUAUUCUUUGUGCACUGGGUUUUGAUAAUACAACACACAUCUACCUUGCUUCUGGAGAGCUCUUUGGUGGGAAACGCUUUAUGAGGCCCUUCAAGACUAUGUUUCCGCGCGUAGAAAACCAUAGCUCCGCUGGACCUGGAAAGCUGGAAGAAAAUACCCGUGGGCUGGCAGGUUCUGCAGUUGAUUACAUGGUCUGUCUCCUAUCAGACAUUUUUAUGCCCACGUAUGAUGGCCCAAGCAACUUUGCAAACAACCUCAUUGGUCACCGCCUAUACUAUGGUUUCCGUACCACCAUCACGCCAAACAGGAAGGCCCUUGCUCCCAUAUUCAUGGACAGGGAGGUAGGCUCAACAGCUGGUUUUGAGGAGCGAGUGAGGCAUGUCAUGAUGAAGAGAUAUGGUGCCCCCCACAAGCGCAUUCAUCCUGAAUCUUUCUAUACAAACUCAUGGCCAGAGUGCUUUUGCCAGGCAAACCCUAGGAAUCGUGCAGACAAAUGCCCACCAGACAAUAUACAUGAGGUUCUGGAGAAUCAGUUUCGGAGUGAAGGGAGUAUAGAAGUGAAAGCCACUAGUCAGAUAGAUUCAACCAGCGAAACCGAAGAGACUGUGAUUUAAUUGAGGAACCAAACUGUUAUUGUCUCAGAGGACUGACACUGAAUCAUCUAUCACGUAGCGGGUUAUUGCAUUUUCGAAUGGGUUGACUAUUGAGGGAUGCACUCAGGCCUAAUAAACUGGAAUGGAGGUGUGAGAUCCAGGAAAGGGGAGUUGGCUUCGUCCAAAUGAACUGGAGCAAGGAGGAGGGAGGGUGCCAAUGAAGGAAGAAUUUUAAGUUGAAAUAGAGAUAUGUACCUCGGGCCAAUUAGGCACGACAAAUUAGAUACUGUGCGGCUUUGGGACAAUUGGUUAGCGCAGAAAUAUCUAGCAUCUUCUACAGUCCUAAUACGAAGGUGGAAAUCAGAGAACAAGUUUGUAUUACUCUGAAUAUUUUGACUGAGGCCCUAAAUGAUAAAUAUCUAGGAUUGUCAGCACAUGUGGGAUUAGACAAACCAGAAUGUUUUCAAUUUCUGGUUGAGAGGAUAGUUAAAAAAUUAGUGGUUGGAAGGAAAAA